rnacentral:rRNA from 1 species
GAUGAACGCUGGCGGCGUGCUUAACACAUGCAAGUCGAACGAAGCAUUUAAGACAGAUUACUUCGGUUUGAAGUCUUUUAUGACUGAGUGGCGGACGGGUGAGUAACGCGUGGGUAACCUGCCUCAUACAGGGGGAUAGCAGCUGGAAACGGCUGGUAAUACCGCAUAAGCGCACAGUACCACAUGGUACAGUGUGAAAAACUCCGGUGGUAUGAGAUGGACCCGCGCCUGAUUAGCUGGUGGGCGGGGUAACGGCCCACCAAGGCGACGAUCAGUAGCCGACAUGAGAGGGUGACCGGACACAUUGAGACUGAGAAACGGCACAGACUCCUACGGGAGGCAGCAGUGGGUAAUAUUGCACAAUGGAGGAAGCUCUGAUGCAGCGACGCCGCGUGAGUGAAGAAGUAGUUCACUAUGUAAAGCUCUAUCAGCAGGGAAGAUAGUGACGGUACCUGACUAAGAAGCUCCGGCUAAAUACGUG